UAUGUACAGAUUUGUAUCGGAAACCAAUGGACCGAAAUAAUCUCCUCCACAGUAAGAGUUUCCAUAACCCACGAACACUGGAUGCGAUCCCUAAGGGACAAUUUAUGAGAGCCAAGAAGAUAGCAUCCAGUGAAGUGGGUUAUAAACAUGCAAGUAGCGAUCUGACAGAAAGGUUUCUGCAAAGGGGAUACCCCAAAGGUAAACUUAAAGCAGUGGUAGAAGAGGUGAAAGGGAUGGACCGUGCUGCUUUAUUACAGCCCAAACAAAAGCAGGGUGAGACGGAUAGAUUAACCUUCGUAAGUACAUACGACAAAAGGAGUAAGAAGGUAGAAAAGAUAGUGAAACAAUAUUGGCCACUUCUGCAAACUGAUGCUAUCUUCGGAAAAGUUUUUUCGAAUCCCCGCGGUUCUCGUAUAAAAAGGGUAAGUCAAUAAGAGACACAUUAUGUGCCAUUUCAAGAGUGGAUAAUAGCAAUACUGUGUUUAAAGGUACACCAAAAGUGGGCACAUACCCGUGCAUGAAUUGCAACUGUUGCAAUUCCAUUAUAAAAGGACCUUGUAUAAAUCAUCCCAUUACAGGUGAGGUAAUCAAACUAAAGUCAUACGCCACAUGUAAAACCAGCCACGUAAUUUAUGCUCUGAAAUGUCCCUGCGGGAAAAUGUACGUAGGGAAGACAAUAAGGUCUGUCAGUACUAGGAUAAAAGAGCAUAAAGGCAAUAUACGCAAUUUUAAAAAUGAUACCUAUACUGACACUCCUGUAGCCAGACAUUUUGAUACUGUAAAACAUAAUGUAUGUCAGCUAAAGUGGAUAGUGUUAGAGACAGUAGCAAAACCCAGUAGAGGAGGUGAUCAUAACUUGAUACUAUUGCAGAGGGAGGCCAGAUGGAUAAAGCGCUUGGAUAGUGCUUAUCCGAAAGGGUUAAAUGAGCAGUGCAAUUUAUCAUGUUUUCUUUAAUAGUAAUGGCUUGUCGUCCUUUGUUCCCAGGAAUUAUAACUAGAUUCCAAGUUGUAAUGACAUGGAACUCCUGCUGCAUUUACAUAUGGGUCUUUUACAGGUUAGGCGGAUUGAGCAGUAACCUGGUUUUAACAUUAUGUUUCAGUGGGAUUUCAACAUGUAUUAUAUGAAAUAAUGUGUGUCACUUUUAAUAGCUAGAUGAAUUGGGUCACAAUAAGUUUUUACAAUAUUUA